AAGAGUCUGCUCAGUGAAACGAAUUAACAAAAAGUCUAUAUACAUAACCAUAAGUACUGAGAGUUCAUCUCAUGUUUAUUUUAUCUGGGAUAAAAGAUCAUAAGUGUUACAGAGCCAAGACCUAAGACCCUGACUGGAUAUAAUUUUAUUAGCGGAUUAGGAUGCUUCCUGAGUCUAUUUUAACUCGCUUCUCUACAUGUCUGAGUCUAUUUGCUCCUUGCAGACGCGUUACGUCAUUUUACGUAUCGUUCUAUAUAUUAUGUAUAUUAUUUCUGCAGUUCGUGAUGCGGUCGAACGGCAUUAUUCAUGCAGAGAGGUUCCGUGACUCCACUGGAGUCCUUACUUUUUGUAAGACUCACGGCUACCACGUAAGUCGAGUGACUCCUCUUUUUUUUUCAACUCCCCUCCGACUUCCAUCUCUAUUGCUAGUCUCUCGUCUGGAAACCGUUCUAAUCUCACGAGAAAGUUGCACGGUCUUGAAAAACCGUUUCUCGCCGUGGCGCGUCCUUUAAAACUGGUAUAGAGGAUAGAGAGUAACGCAGAUAUACACUUAUACACUGUGAUAUAAGAGACAACAGUGUUGAAUUGCAAUUCGUGCAUAAUACUGCUCAUUGAGAUUAUUUAACAGGGAGUAAUCAAUUGCGUCAGCUGACGCUAUUCCGUAACAGUGAAAGUCGUUGAUGCAUAAUAUAUCCAAGAAGCGAAAAUUUAUAGCCUAUUAGAUCAUGCAACGUCAGUGCAGAAAAUCUAUAUAUUUUUGUUAUUCACGAUAUCCGCCGACGAAAUUCCAGGCCAAAACAAGAAUUUCAAAGCUCGCCAGGACCCCUGGCCCUGGGCCAGGUUAAUGAGUUGGCCAUGGACCUGGCACUGAAUAUAGAGUCUUGAGCUUGCAACUAUUUUUAAUCCAAUAGCCACAGUCUGAACUUUCGAGAUACAGAAUUCUAAGUACCGUACUGCAUCACUAUAACAGGAUAUGUAAAAGUGACCAUUCUUGGAAAGCAUAAACGAUAUCCAAGAUAAUAGCGUCCUAUAGUAAUGGCGUCGAGUUACUAAAGUUUCGUGUAGGAGUUUUUAAGAUUGAAAAGAGAAGGUGAAGGAUCUCGUUGCUACAGAGACUCUCGAUCAGUCUUCGUUUCAGAUGACUCAAGUACUGUUGGAGUAUCAUAAAACUACUUGGAUAUUAUUGGACAGAGUAUUUGACUCUUUUCACUAUGUUCACACCCACCAUUAAAUCGUUACGAUCUCAGGUCACUGCCCCAGUACCGGCUAACGAUAAAUAACAAAGGAAUGAGAGUAAGAACAUAAUUUGUCCAGCGCUGCAAGCAAGAAUAAUGUAUAAAAGUAUUGAAAAAUUCUAAACGGCGUAAACAAAUGUUGGUUAUCAAUUGGAAGAUUUAAUAACUUCCUUGGUAAACAUCAGGAAAACAUGCUAGAAGAUUCUUCCGGGCUGUCAACAAUAUUCCAACAAUUUUCGCAUAUAUGUUUAUCCUGCAUCUUCAUCGCGCUUAUUUCACAACCGUGGACGAGCCAUAACAUAAAAACAAUUUACAGAAAAACUAUGGAUACUGUUAUGCUCGGUGGCUAAUACGUCAUCGUGAGACGCACCCACUACGUUCUGCUUUCCCAUUGGGCCUCGUGAAAUCAUUAGACAAGGACAAAACGAGAUAAACAACGAUCCACGUGACAUCUCACGCUAUUGUUUCUAAAGACGCCACGAAUAUCUCUAAAUCUUAGUCAGAGCGGUGGGGACGUUCAAGGAUAAUUAUUUUCACAGCCAAACAAUUCCCACGUUUGAUAUCUAUGCCGAUUAGAUUUUUCUUCUGGUUAAAGACCUGCCUCUGUUACGACUGAACGUAGCCUUAUACAUUCUGAACAGCGAUUCCUGGAACAGUCCAUUUUAAGCAGCCAACUUUAUUCAAGACUGAUAUUUUCAUAAUAUUUAGGUGUUACCAU